rnacentral:rRNA from 1 species
ACUCCACGAAGUUGGAUUCGCUAGUAAUCGCGCAUCAGCCAUGGCGCGGUGAAUACGUUCCCGGGCCUUGUACACACCGCCCGUCAAGCCAUGGAAGCUGGGGGUGCCUGAAGUUCGUGACCGGAAGGAGCGACCUAGGGCAAAACCGGUGACUGGGGCUAAGUCGUAACAAGGUAAC